rnacentral:sRNA from 1 species
GCCUUCGACGUGGCGUUUUCUUCGGUUUCACUUCCGGUGGGAAGGAUAUGUGCAAGAUAAAGCAGCCAGGGAUUUAAGUCUGGCAACAGUUGGACUGCUGGAUUUUCAGAGAAGUGUUCCCCAAAGCAAAUUAUGGUGCUAAUUUCCAAUAUUCCAUAAGCGUGGCAAGAAAAAUGGGAAGUUCUCGUGGCAUUGGCUCAGUGAUUUCCAUGAGCAUCUCUACCAGAAAACAUUGCCUCGAUGAGGUGUGGUGGAAGCCCGGCAGCCCCUUCUAAUCGGCUAGGCUUGAGAAAGCGUGUACCUCUGCAUUUCCGAAAUUAACUCAGCGUGAUCGGCAAGAUUUUCCUGAGCAUCUGGUGUCAAGACACUCGUCACUAUUAAUUCGGAAAGAA